CGGAGUAGCCUGAGUUGCCAUAUUAGGAGUAGCUCCUGAGAACGCGAUAAGGGCGCCAUGUUGAAUGUGGCGGAAAUUGAUGUUAAGUUGUUCCGGAAAGGAGAUACUCAGAAUGGAAAGAUUCUCUUUGUAGAAUUUCACAUUUUAGACUACCCACUUAGAAAGUAUGGCAGAGGACUUCCGGUCAAGAUGGCGGCUUAGAGAAAGCUAAAGUUCAGAUCUCUGGAAACCCUUCCCUACUGAACGCAAACUCUAUGCUCCUAAGGCACCGAAAUUCAAAACAAACAACAGCAUAGACCCCGGGAAUCCUCCUCCUGGACCUGGACCUGGAUCAAAAGGUACGGCCCCCCCAAAAGCCAGAACACGAGAUCACUCGAACCUAAGGGGUAGGCAGAAGGAAGGUCUCAGGACCCAUCCCCCCAACCCAGAGCGCUGAGUCCGAGGCAGCAGAGGGAACCUCAGAGCCUCAGGGCCGGCCAUCCUGAAGGCCGCUUCCUGAAAACAACCUGACCCAGUCGAAGGGGCACCCAGACAGCAGGGAAACAGAGAGAGACGGGAGGAGCCUGUAGCCCCCUGACCAGAUCCUUCCAUCUGAGUCUAACCCAAGGUCCCUGCCUCAGGGCAUACUCAGUCUGAGGUUAAUCCUAUGACUAGUCCUCAGAGCCCCAGGAAGCCAUGGCCCCUCCCCCCUCAGAGAGCAGGCUCCUCUGAAACAACAGUAACCCUCAGGGCUGG
rnacentral:lncRNA from 1 species